GCAUAUCAAUAAGCGGAGGAAAAGAAACCAACAGGGAUUGCCCUAGUAACGGCGAGUGAAGCGGCAACAGCUCAAAUUUGAAAUCUGGCCUCACGGUCCGAAUUGUAAUUUGUAGAGGAUGUUUCUGGCGACGUGUCUUCCGAGUUCCCUGGAACGGGACGCCAUAGAGGGUGAGAGCCCCGUCCGGUCGUACACCUAGCCUCUGUGAAACUCCUUCGACGAGUCGAGUAGUUUGGGAAUGCUGCUCUAAAUGGGAGGUAUACGUCUUCUAAAGCUAAAUACCGGCCAGAGACCGAUAGCGCACAAGUAGAGUGAUCGAAAGAUGAAAAGCACUUUGAAAAGAGGGUUAAAUAGUACGUGAAAUUGCUGAAAGGGAAGCGCUUAUGACCAGACUUGGGCUCGGUGAAUCAUCCGGCGUUCUCGCCGGUGCACUUUGCCGUCCCAGGCCAGCAUCAGUUCGCGCCGGGGGAUAAAGGUUUCGGGAAUGUAGCUCCCUCGGGAGUGUUAUAGCCCGUUGCGUAAUACCCUGGCGUGGACUGAGGUCCGCGCUCUGCAAGGAUGCUGGCGUAAUGGUCAUCAGUGACCCGUCUUGAAACACGGACCAAGGAGUCGUCUUCGUAUGCGAGUGUUCGGGUGUCAAACCCCUACGCGUAAUGAAAGUGAACGUAGGAGAGAGCUUCGGCGCAUCUCCGACCGAUCCUGAUGUUCUCGGAUGGAUUUGAGUAAGAGCAUACGGGGCCGGACCCGAAAGAAGGUGAACUAUGCCUGUAUAGGGUGAAGCCAGAGGAAACUCUGGUGGAGGCUCGCAGCGGUUCUGACGUGCAAAUCGAUCGUCAAAUAUGGGCAUGGGGGCGAAAGACUAAUCGAACYUUCUAGUAGCUGGUUUCGCGA
rnacentral:rRNA from 1 species